UGUAACUCAGUGGUAGAGUUCUUGCUUAGCAAGCAUAAGGCCCUGGGUUGUAUCCCCAGCA
rnacentral:tRNA from 1 species